CCACCCCCUGAGGCCCCCGCCCCUCCCCAACCAGCCCCCCUCCCACCGCUUUCCUGCAGGUUUGGGCUAUGGCAACGGCAACAGCAACGGUGGUCUGGGAGCCGGGUUCUUCCCUGAGGUCCGCCCACAGCCAGGUGCCUGGGGGGCUGGGGGUGAGGUGGGGGGCUUUGGGCUCAGGGGUGCUCGUGUUUCUGACCUUGUCUUUCGUCCUCCAGGGUUCCCAGGGGCCGAUGGCUUUCUGAACGGUCAGGCUGCGGGCCUGAGGGGCUUUCCCUGGCCCUCCCUCCGGGCCUGGGGGGCUGCCUUGAAGCCUACAUACCGGGUCGGAGGCACAUACCCAGAAGUCGGGAGCCAACCAGGGCCCUAUGGGCAGCUGAGGCCAGAGCUGGGCCCUGGGCCCUUGGGAGGCCCUGAGGUGAAAAGAGGCAGCAAUGGCCCCCUGGGAAAUGGCUUUGGAGGUGAGAGGGAACUCAGGGCCCCGCCCCCAGCCACCCCAUGCCACCAUCAUCACACCUCCGGGCUGCACUGGGGGCAACCCCGACCUGUGGGAGGAACAGAUAGUGGCUCUCAGGCCACCUGUGGGUGCCUGGUGGGUGGCUGGCCCCAGAGAUCCGAUAGAGGGCCCGUGUCCCCCAGGAGGUGAGCAGGGGCCAGAGCUCAGCUGGGCCCUGCUCUGUCUAUGCCUAGGCCGCUGACUUCUUGGGAAAUGCUGAGCACCCGAGCACACCCACGGCCUGUCCUGAGCGCCUCUGCAUGCAAGCCUGGUCUUCAGGCAAGGCCAGCCAGACCCUCCGGCUUGGCCUCUGGCCUGGGGUUUCCUGCAGGCUGAAAGUCUCAAUAAAGGCAGUGUGCUUC
rnacentral:lncRNA from 1 species